rnacentral:rRNA from 1 species
UACGUAGGGGGCUAGCGUUGUCCGGAAUCAUUGGGCGUAAAGCGCGCGUAGGCGGUCAGGUAAGUCCGGUGUGAAAGUCAAAGGCUCAACCUUUGAAUGCCGCUGGAUACUGCCUGACUUGAGUCCGGAAGGGGCGAGUGGAAUUCCUGGUGUAGCGGUGAAAUGCGCAGAUAUCAGGAGGAACACCGGUGGCGAAGGCGGAUCUCUGGGCCUUACCUGACGCUGAGGCGCGAAAGCUAGGGGAGCGAACAGG